rnacentral:rRNA from 1 species
GAAGUCUAACAUGUGCGCGAGUCGUUGGGUUAAAAACCUAAAGGCGGAAUGAAAGUAAAGGAAGCUUUGCUUUCCGAGGGAGGAUGGGCACGUCGGCUCAAUGGGCGGUGCCCCGCACUCCCGGGGCGUCUCUUUCUCAUUGCGAGUAGAGGCGCACCCAGAGCGUACACGUUAGGACCCGAAAGAUGGUGAACUAUGCCUGGCCAGGACGAAGCCAGGGGAAACCCUGGUGGAGGUCCGUAGCGAUUCUGACGUGCAAAUCGAUCGUCAGAGCUGGGUAUAGGGGCGAAAGACUAAUCGAACCAUCUAGUAGCUGGUUCCCUCCGAAGUUUCCCUCAGGAUAGCUGGUGCCCGUGUGAGACGAGUCUCAUCCGGUAAAGCGAAUGAUUAGAGGCAUUGGGGCCGAAACGACCUCAACCUAUUCUCAAACUUUAAAUAGAUGAGAACUCCGGCUUGCUUGAAAGUGAAGCCGGAGAUUCGGAUCAGAGGGUGCCCAGUGGGCCAAUUUUG